rnacentral:rRNA from 1 species
UACGGGGGAUGCAAGUGUUAUCCGGAAUAAUUGGGCGUAAAGCGUCUGUAGGUGGUUUACCAAGUCUGUUGUUAAAAAUUAGGGCUCAACCCUGAUCCGGCAACAGAAACUAGUAGACUUGAGUACGGUAGGGGCAGAGGGAAUUCUCGGUGUAGUGGUGAAAUACGUAGAUAUCGAGAAGAACACCAAUAGCGAAAGCACUCUGCUGGGCCGAAACUGACAUUGAGAGACGAAAGCUAGGGGAGCAAAAGGG